rnacentral:misc_RNA from 1 species
GAUGAAGAACGCAGCGAAAUGCGAUAAGUAAUGUGAAUUGCAGAAUUCAGUGAAUCAUCGAAUCUUUGAACGCACCUUGCACUCCUUGGUAUUCCGAGGAGUACGCCUGUUCGAGUGUUAUGAAGCUCUCAAAACGCAAUUGGCUUAAAACCUGAUUGUUGUUUUGGAUUUGAACUUUGCCGUGUUAUAACGGCUGGUUUUAAAAGUAUUAGCUGGUACUAGAACGAAUUGGUUCUACUCAACGUGAUAAUUAUCUGAUCGUUGAGGACAUUCCUUUCACGAGGAAUGGCCAUAGUAAAUUCAAUGGACUGCUUCUAAUCUGGCUUUAAUUCUUUAUUGGAUUAACCACUUUUCAAAUCUGACCUCGAAUCAGGUGGGACUACCCGCUGAACUUAAGCAUAUCAAUAAGCGGAAGA